AUGGCCGCGCCAUUGAGCGACGAUGAGAUCCGGUUGAUGGUGGAGCAAGGCGUGCAUCGACCCCUGGAGGAGACCAUGAGGAAGCUGCAGUCCGCGGUGCCGGACGCGCUGCGGGCCAAGGGAAAGGGGCUCCCCACGCUCAAGCAGCUCGAGUGGGCGGACGACACCGAGCGGAGUGCCACGCGCGUCGCCCAGGACAUGGAGCUAGAAGGGAUGAAACAUAUCAUCAAACUUAGCUACAACGAUCUUCCUCCUCAUCUCAAGCCAUGCCUAUUGUAUCUGAGCAUAUUUCCUGACAACCAUGAGAUCGAAAUAGAGCGUCUUGCGAGGCGAUUAACUGCAGAAGGGUUCAUCAGUGAAUGCUGUUACAGAGAUAUGGAGGAAACAGCGACAGACUACAUAAAUGAGCUCAUUGACAGAAACUUAAUCCAGCCAUCACGGCUGAACCAUGAUGGCACUCAUCGGAGCUGCGUUGUUCAUCCAGUAAUACAUGAUUUCAUCGUGUCCAUGUCCAUGGAAGAUAAUUUUGUUACUCUGGUACAUGCUCAACAGAAAUUUGCCCCACGUGGCUAUCGCACCAUCCGACAUCUGUCCUUGUUGAACAGUGGUAAAUAUGACCAGGCUGCUGCACAAAUCGAUGGGGCGAAAAUUUCUCGUGCUCGCUCCAUCACCGUAUUUUCUCACACCGGGGGCAUGCCUCGUCUGAAUUAUCUCAGUGUGCUGCGAGUUCUGGACCUCGAAGACUGUGAAGGUCCACUGUGCCUCGAUGGUCUCUGCGGAUUGCUGCUUCUGAGGUACUUGAACCUCAAGGGAACAGAUGUCAGCAAGCUCCCAGCAAAGAUUGGGGAGCUAAGAUGCCUAGAGACACUGGAUGUGAGAUCCACAAAGGUAAAAGAGCUACCUCCCAGCAUUCUCAAGCUGGAAAAGCUAAAGCAUUUGCUUGCUGGGAAUGCAAGGCUGCCGACGGGGAUAGGCAAGUUGAAGUCAGUGCUGACAGUUUCGUGCAGAAAUAUCGGGAAGAGCACCGAUGUGGAUAUCCUUCAAGAGCUCGAUGAAAUGGCAAGCUUGAGUGAACUAGAACUAUUUUGUAAUUUUACACAGAUUUCUGGGGAUAAGAGACAAGUCACGUUUCCGAGUGACGGAUUUAAGAGUCUUAGGAAGCUUUCCAUUCGAUGCAACUCGCCAUCAGUGACCUUCAUGACCGGCGCUCUAUCGAAGGUUCGAGUGCUUGAGCUGAAGUUGGAACAAUGCGUUUCGGAGAAGUCAAGAGGUGUGUCUGGCAUAGAGCAUCUGCUGCAUCUGAAGCGCAUGCUCAUGGAGUUUUCGCAGCAUGAUGCGGGUGCUGCAGCAGCAAUGGCUGUAGUCAGGAAGGUUGUUGAGACAGUCCACCCAAGCUGUGAAGUGAUCACCGUAAACGCUGAUAACUACUAG
rnacentral:rRNA from 1 species